GCCAAAAGACCUUAAACCAUUUUUAUAAUCUUGUAUUUAUAUGAGUGCCAUUAAAAAUUAUUUUUGGAUUAGAAAAACUAAUAUAGUUCAGUUUCCCAAUCUCGUUUUAUCUUCUCGACAAUCUGGUUCUGCCGUUCUGUUCUCGUUGGAUUGGGAGUGGUAGUGACUUGUUAUUUGUUCCGGUUGCUUUCAAGGUUGAUCUGAAAAGUUUUGUUCUUGGAAUUUGUUGGCUUUGCGUCGGUGCUGCCCCAAAAAUUCUCUCCCCUUCUCCAACGGCGAUCAAUCUCUGUCCGAUCUCUUUCUUUCUUCUGCUCUACGAACCUUUAGAAUCAUGAAUAGUAUGAGGUUAUCGUUCUUGGCACCGGUCUCAAAGGGUGUAUCCUCAGCGGUUUCCUUUCCGUCGAUGAUGUCAAGAUGAGCUCAGAACCAACUUCAACACUGGCAGAACAAAGAGCUGCGAAUGGAGAAUUUCUCAGCUUCAAAACAUUUCUAGGAUGCUUGGCAAUAAGGAGAAUUGCAUCACAUAAACUUUGUAUCAAACAUUUCUAGGAUGCUUGGCAACCGUUUGUAUCAAACAUUUCACAGGAUGUUUGGGGUCUUUAGCCAUAAACCAUGAACGUACCUGCUAUUAUCCAUUUGCUAAAGACCGAUUGUACUAACUGUAGCUUUGUAUCAAGAUCUUUCUAAGCCUGAGAUUGAAGCUUUUCUUGUCUACAUUCUCCAGUGAAUUAUAUAGUCUUACAGUAUA